GGGGAAUUUUGGACAAUGGGGGCAACCCUGAUCCAGUCAUGCCGCGUGAGUGAAGAAGGCCUUCGGGUUGUAAAGCUCUUUCGGUCGGGAAGAAAACGCGCCGGCUCAUACCCUGUAUUGUUGCCGGUACCGGACUAAGAAGCACCGGAUAACUACGUUCCAGCAGCCGCGGUAAUACGUAGGGUGCGAGCGUUAAUCGGAAUUACUGGGCGUAAAGCGUGCGCAGGCGGUUUUGUAAGACAGGCGUGAAAUCCCCGGGCUCAACCUGGGAACUGCGCUUGUGACUGCAAGACUAGAGUACGGCAGAGGGGGGUGGAAUUCCACGUGUAGCAGUGAAAUGCGUAGAGAUGUGGAGGAACACCAAUGGCGAAGGCAGCCCCCUGCGUCGAUACUGACGCUCAUGCACGAAAGCGUGGGGAGCAAACA
rnacentral:rRNA from 1 species